rnacentral:rRNA from 1 species
AGAGUUUGAUCAUGGCUCAGAACGAACGCUGGCGGCGUGCCUAACACAUGCAAGUCGAACGGAGGUAGGGAGCUUGCUCCUUACUUUAGUGGCGCACGGGUGAGUAACGCGUAGAUAAUCUGCCUGAUGAUCUGGGAUAACACUUCGAAAGGGGUGCUAAUACCGGAUAAGCCCACGGGGUCUUUGGAUUCUGCGGGAAAAGGGGGGGACCUUCGGGCCUUCUGUCAUCAGAUGAGUCUGCGUACCAUUAGCUAGUUGGUAGGGUAAUGGCCUACCAAGGCUACGAUGGUUAGCUGGUUUGAGAGAAUGAUCAGCCACACUGGAACUGAGACACGGUCCAGACUCCUACGGGAGGCAGCAGUGGGGAAUUUUGCGCAAUGGGCGAAAGCCUGACGCAGCAACGCCGCGUGAGUGAUGAAGGCUUUCGGGUCGUAAAGCUCUGUCAGAGGGAAAGAAGUGUAUUGUGGCUAAUAUCCACGAUACUUGACGGUACCCUCAAAGGAAGCACCGGCUAACUCCGUGCCAGCAGCCGCGGUAAUACGGGGGGUGCAAGCGUUGUUCGGAAUUAUUGGGCGUAAAGAGCGUGUAGGCGGUUUGUUAAGUCUGUUGUGAAAGCCCUGGGCUCAACCCAGGAAGUGCACUGGAUACUGGCAGACUUGAAUACGGGAGAGGGUAGUGGAAUUCCUAGUGUAGGAGUGAAAUCCGUAGAUAUUAGGAGGAACACCGGUGGCGAAGGCGGCUACCUGGACCGAUAUUGACGCUGAGACGCGAAAGCGUGGGUAGCAAACAGGAUUAGAUACCCUAGUAGUCC